rnacentral:rRNA from 1 species
UACGUAGGGUGCGAGCGUUAAUCGGAAUUACUGGGCGUAAAGCGUGCGCAGGCGGUUCGUUGUGUCCGUCGUGAAAGCCCCGGGCUUAACCUGGGAACUGCGAUGGAAACUAGCGAGCUGGAGUGUGGCAGAGGGGGGUGGAAUUCCGCGUGUAGCAGUGAAAUGCGUAGAUAUUGGGAAGAACACCUGAGGCGAAGGCGGGUUGCUGGGCUGACACUGACGCUGAGGCGCGAAAGCCAGGGGAGCGAACGGG